GCUGGGCGUGGUGGUGCGUGCCUGUAAUCCCAGCUACUCCGGAGGCUGAGGCAGGAGAAUCGCUUGAACCCGGGAGCUGGAGGUUGCAGUGAGCCGAGAUCACUCCACUGCACUCCAGCCUGUGCAACAGAGUGAGACUCUGUCUCAA
rnacentral:SRP_RNA from 2 species